CACGCACCGCCUCCGGACUCUGGUGACCGGACUCCUGUGACCGCUGGACACUCAAAGUCAAGUCCCCUUCUGAAGCCUCAGUAAGAGAAGCAGCCACGCACACCCCGGCACAGUGCCCCCUAGGCCUGGGACCGAGCCACGCCGUCUCCUUCCUCGGAAUGACUGGAAUCCGGACAAGGAUGGCUGCAGAUUCCUGAGGGCCUGAGGCAGAGAGAGCAACAGGGGACACAGAGGAGGAGGAGGUCCAGUGACCACGGAUGCAGAGAUUGGAGUGAUGCAGCCACAAGCCAAGGAACACCUGGAGCCGCCAGAAGCUGGAGGAGGCAAGAAACAGAUCCUCCUCUAGGGCCUCCAGAGAGAGAACGACCCUGUACAGACACCUUGAUUUUGAACUUCUGGCCUCCAGAACUAUGAAAAAAUAAAGUUCUGUUGUUUUAAGUAGCCAAGUUUACUAAAAAGAGUUGGUUCUGAAUUCCAUUUAUUGAAAUUUACCCCAAUUAUACAAAAUCCUGCUUUGGUUUUAUUUUUGCCCUCCAGUUACCUAAUGUUAAGGUUGGAUGAGUAAAGCAGGCUUUCUACUUAACUUCUGGGUUUGCUAUUUAAAAAUGCUAGUUACCCUCAUAACCUUAGCCCUUCAUAUUUCUUUGCCUCUAUUCUUCUAUACUCAGGUUUUUCUCACUUAUUGUACAAAGAAAUUGCGAUGUAUAUUUUCAUGUAAUUUGAUUUUGGAAUGCUGUCACCUUAUGUAGUGAGU